rnacentral:rRNA from 1 species
GCGGCAUGCCUUACACAUGCAAGUCGAACGGUAGAGGGGCAACCCUUGAGAGUGGCGAACGGGUGAGUAAUAUAUCGGAACGUGCCCAGUCGUGGGGGAUAACGCAGCGAAAGCUGCGCUAAUACCGCAUACGAUCUAUGGAUGAAAGCGGGGGAUCGCAAGACCUCGCGCGAUUGGAGCGGCCGAUAUCAGAUUAGGUAGUUGGUGGGGUAAAAGCCCACCAAGCCGACGAUCUGUAGCUGGUCUGAGAGGACGACCAGCCACACUGGGACUGAGACACGGCCCAGACUCCUACGGGAGGCAGCAGUGGGGAAUUUUGGACAAUGGGCGCAAGCCUGAUCCAGCAAUGCCGCGUGCAGGACGAAGGCCUUCGGGUUGUAAACUGCUUUUGUACGGAGCGAAACGGUCUGGGUUAAUACCCUGGGCUAAUGACGGUACCGUAAGAAUAAGCACCGGCUAACUACGUGCCAGCAGCCGCGGUAAUACGUAGGGUGCGAGCGUUAAUCGGAAUUACU